rnacentral:rRNA from 1 species
CAGCAGCCGCGGUAAUACGGAGGGAGCUAGCGUUGUUCGGAAUUACUGGGCGUAAAGCGCGCGUAGGCGGUUACUCAAGUCAGAGGUGAAAGCCCGGGGCUCAACCCCGGAACUGCCUUUGAAACUAGGUGACUAGAAUCUUGGAGAGGUCAGUGGAAGUCCGAGUGUAGAGGUGAAAUUCGUAGAUAUUCGGAAGAACACCAGUGGCGAAGGCGACUGACUGGACAAGUAUUGACGCUGAGGUGCGAAAGCGUGGGGAGCAAACAGGAUUAGAUACCCCCGUAGUCCCUGUCUCUUAUAC